CAUCGAAAAGAUUUAUUUGUUUGUAAAUACCCAUGAUAUUAUUGAAACCUUGCUAUAUGCAGAAAUUUACUUUAAGAGACUUGGUUAGUUAUUCAUUUGAUGGCCAGAGAAUUAAAGAUAUGUGUUUAUUUCAGAUAGAAGUUGGAUAUUUAAAAAUUUAUUACACACUAGUUCGUUUUCUCAAUGCGGCUUGGGCACAGAAACGAAAGCAAGCAUUGGUUGAAGUGAUAGAUAGGUUUGUUACGAGUAGACGAGGCUGAAGAGAACCAAGUGCUUUUGACGCUAAAUUCGAAAUCAUGAUACCAGGUUAACUGGAGUUCUUUCUUGCAAUUUUACAGAGUAUUUAAGAAACGCAACAACCUGGAUGACUCAUUAGCUCGAAUAACAACAAUACAUAGUGCCAUUUUAUUCCAUUGCUUACGAUCUGAGUUCUAGUUUCGCUGAGGUCAACUUGGUAUCAACUUAAUCCUUUCGAAGUCGACAAAAGAAAUUUCAGUAAAUCACAAGGCCGAUGAUAUCGAUCCUAAAAUUACUGGCUUCGUGCCAAAAUUAGAAACAAUAUAUUUAAGUGACAUAAUAUAUUUUAGUGGACACUAUUCUAUGCACCCCCUUAUUGUAAUUAUCUUUAUCAUUUUUUCUUUACAUAUUGUGUAAUAUUUAAAACAACGCCUAAACUUAUAAUACAUUCAAUGAAUCAUAUUUCCAUUCUUAUUUUAUAGCCUUUAACUACACAGGCUUUUCACGUAUAAAUAACUGCUACUUUUCCUUGUCUCCUUCUUAUCGUUUGGAUUGAACUUUCAAUGUUUUCUUCUAAUUCAUAUUCUAUGCCUUUAAAGUUCCAAUUGCAUGUUUCUCAAGAAAGAUCACAUGCUUAAAUUUAGUCAUAAAUGAUUAAUGGCCAUGAAUAUCAAAAUAUAUUUUGUAAAACUUUGUAGUAGACACACUGUGAUGUUUACAUGUACCCUUCAUUUAUACAAUCCGUCCGUAGAGGACUUUCUGGAGGCACGUCCUGUUUUACCGAAACAAUUCCCAGUAGGCUUCCAUUAUAUUCAAACAUAUCUUUCCUACGGUAUUGAUCAUGAUUAAACAGAAUAUUAUAUAAACUUAAUAUUUAUAGCAGUUUCAAAUUUCUGUUUGAAACAUUUCCCCCCUUUCGAUAAUAAUAUUACCACUGACACUAUUACAAGGAGCAACCGAUCUACAUUUAUAGAAACUAUUUCAGUAAUACAGUUCUAUAUUUAAAGCUGGAGGGUACGUCAGCCGAAACGUUGUGUUAACAACAAACAAGAUUAGGACAAAUAUCCGUCAAAUGUAGAUAAUGUAAAUAGAAUAGUUAUGAAUAUUAUUAUUAUUAUUAUUGACGUUUUUAUCAGAAGCUCCUAAUAGGUUUUCUUAUAGAUAUACACAAGGACGGUGUUUUCCAUUCGCUAUGGAAUUCUUGGGUUGCUAUGAUCAUGUUUAUCUCUUGUUGUUUCUGUCCUCAGUUACUGCAACUAUCUAACAUUGUCUACAGGUGAAGCAAACUUAAUUUGUUCCUAUUUAUUUUCUUUUAAUUUUAUUUAUCUUCAUUCAUCCCGGCUAAUUUGAAUACUAAUAUUUUUUCUUUAUCUUCGCUUAUUCGGAUCCACUGUUUAUAAUACUUCGUCUGGAUUUAGUAAUAUCUGGAGACAAAAUUUAUUGGAUUCAGUGCAAUUCAUACUUUGGUCUUAUCAAUAUUGGGUUACUUUAACUUUUGAACAAAAUAUAUUCAAGGCCUUUGGUUGUGUGGUAAGAAGCUUGUUUCCCAACCACAUGGUUCUGGGUUCAAUUCCACUGCGUGGCACCUUGGGUAGGUGUCUUCUACUAUAACCUCGGACCGACCAAAGCCAGUCGAAGAAAUCGACCACAGGACUUAUUCUUUGUAAGACUGGUACUUAUUCUAUCCGUUUCUUUUCCUGAACCGCUAGGUUACGGGGUGAGGGGGCCUAACACACCAGCAUCCGUUGUCAAGUGAUGUUGCGCGGACAAGCACAGACACACAUACAUACAUAUAUUGGGAAGCAAGCUUCUCAUCAUACAGCCACACAUGCGCUUAUAUAUAUAUAUGGAUAUAUAUGUAUAUAUAUAUAUAUAUGUAUGUA